GACGAACGCUGGCGGCGUGCCUAACACAUGCAAGUCGAACGGAGUUGUUCCUUCGGGGACAACUUAGUGGCGAACGGGUGAGUAACGCGUGAGAAACCUGCCUUUCAGUGGGGGACAACAGUUGGAAACGACUGCUAAUACCGCAUAAUGUAUCGAUGGGGCAUCCCAAUGAUACCAAAGAUUUAUUGCUGAAAGAUGGUCUCGCGUCUGAUUAGCUAGUUGGUGAGGUAACGGCUCACCAAGGCGACGAUCAGUAGCCGGUCUGAGAGGAUGAACGGCCACAUUGGGACUGAGAUACGGCCCAGACUCCUACGGGAGGCAGCAGUGGGGAAUAUUGGGCAAUGGGGGAAACCCUGACCCAGCAACGCCGCGUGAAGGAAGAAGGGCCUUCGGGUUGGUAAACUUCUUUACCAGGGACGAAGAACGUAGACGGUACCUGGAGAAAAAGACAACGGCUAACUACGUGCCAGCAGCCG
rnacentral:rRNA from 1 species